rnacentral:rRNA from 1 species
UACGGGGGGGGCAAGCGUUGUUCGGAAUUACUGGGCGUAAAGGGCUCGUAGGCGGCCAACUAAGUCAUACGUGAAAUCCCACGGCUCAACCGUGGAACUGCUGGGUAUACUGGCGAUCUUGAGCCACCUAGGGGCGAGCGGAACAAGCGGUGGAGCGGUGAAAUGCGUAGAUAUCGCUUGGAACGCCAAUGGUGAAAACAGCUCGCUGGGGGUGUGCUGACGCUGAGACACGAAAGCCAGGGGAGCGAACGGG